UGCUCGGGUCCCCUUCCACACUGUGGAAGCUUUGUUCUUUUGCUCUUUGCAAUAAAUCUUGCUACUGCUCACUCUUUGAGUCCACGCUGCUUUUAUGAGCUGUAACACUCACCGUGGAUCUGCAGCUUCACUCCUGAGCCCAGCGAGACCAUGAGCCCACCGGGAGGAACGAACAACUCCAGAAACGCUGCCUUAAGAGCUGUAACACUCACCGCGAAGGUCUGGAGCUUCACUCCUGAGCCAGCGAGACCACGAACCCACCAGAAGGAAGAAACUCCGAACACAUCUGAACAUCAGAAGGGACAGACUCCAGACGCACCACCUUAAGAGCUGCAACACUCACCGCGAGGGUCCGCAGCUUCAUUCUUGAAGUCAGUGAGACCAAGAACCCACCAAUUCCGGACACAUUUUGGCGACCACGAAGGGACAGACUCCAGACGUGCCACCUUAAGAGCUGUAACACUCACUGCGAGGGUCCGCAGCUUCAUUCCUGAAGUCAGUGAGACCAAGAACCCACCAAUUCUGGUCACAUUUUGGCGACCACGAAGGGACUUUCACCUAUCGCCAAGCGGUGAGACAAUCGCCGAGCGGUGAGACCUUUGCCUAUCGCCAAGCAAUACCAACAAUGAAAAUGGGAUCAUAUUCAACAUGGCACUGCACAGCGUACUUUUUCCACUUAAUGUAUAAGCACAUCUUUCCAUGUUGGUACUUAUGAAUCUCUCUGUGUGUGUAUACAUAUAUAUGUGUGUGUGUAUGUGUGUGUAUAUAUAACAUUUCAUUCUGUGCAUAUACCAUGCUUUAUUUAAAUAUUUCUCUGUUGAUGAAUAUUUGGAUUGCUACCAACUUUUAGCUAUUACAGAAAACUACAAACAAUACUGCAAUGAAUAUCCUUGUGUAUGCAAGCCAAAAGCUCCAUCAGAGGUUAUGAACAUUUAAAAUUUUAAUAAAUACUGCCACAUUUCACAGCAGCUUUUAACUUGAUGACAGUUCCUGCAAAAGGUGGAGCAUGUUCACAGAGACUACUUUUCCUCCAGAUGAAUCUAUAAGUUGUUUAGAGGGCCAUAGUGGGCCCUCUUCUGUCCUGUCUUUUAGAGAGGCCCAUUCUGGGUAAUUUUUAUAUUCAUUUUUGGAAAAUGCUGAUCUAAAGUGAUCUUUUAAACUUUACCCAGUAGGCUUUCUUAAAAAUUUAAUGAAAAACAUACUACUGAUGUUGAAAAAAACCCUAUACAUUUGGCAUUACAUUGUUUGAUGCAAAUCUUUUUUGUUUUCCUUUUUGGUCUUCUCUACUAACAGCUUGCAUAUGACUCAUUUCCAUCUCAGCAAUAGGAUUAUGAGUCAUGAUUAAGGCAAUUCUCCUUUUCCAUUAAAGAUAAUGAACUCACUCAUGGAUAUGUUUUAUAAUAUAUGUUUACAAUGAUAUUGCAACAUAAUAUUGAAAGAAUGUAAUUAUCCUAUAUCUCUAUUAUGUGCAAUAUAGUUCUAUUCAAAAUGUGUUUACCUAUCACAAAGGUUACAUCUUGGAACUAUGAUUUUUG
rnacentral:lncRNA from 1 species